AAUAAUACCCAGUAGUACGCAGAAUCACUCGGGGAAACAAGGAUCGUCUCUGGAUUCCACGUUAAUAAUCAGAAAAUGGCAAAACCGGCCGAUGUCACGUAGAGGUACAAACAGCAAGUCGACGCAGUGGCGGGAUCGAAUCUAGGGGAUUUCUCGAAACCGGAACUGACGGAAAUAACUUGGUCGUUACUCGUGAGGGGAAACUGCUCCGCCGAUCGUAUUGAACGAAAUUUCGGCUCGCUCGUGGCGCAAUUAUGCGUGUCGUCCGGAGAGUGGCGGAAGGUCGAUUCGAAAUUUAGACAUGGAUGUUCGAUUCGUUACCAAGCUAUAGAUGAGUGCGGUAUACCGUUGGUGUAUCUACACUAGGGUAAACAAAGUAGUGUGGAAACGGUAGCUGAGAAAAAGGGGUCUAGCAGGAUAUGACAGGACACUUUCAAAAUGUCUGAAAAUAAAACCCCAGGGAACAUGAUGAACAUCACUUAACUGCCACUCCACUCCGUCGUGGGCCCAGGCUGGAGCCUCCCUAAUUGAGAUGCGCCAACAGCCAAUCGGGCUACCAAAUUAUAGGGCCCCGGAGGAAAGCGAUUGUCGACCAAACAGGGAGCACAAACAAACAGUAAUGAUCUAGCUUCGGUUCCUAGAAGGAAACGUGGAAGAAAAUGGAAAAGUCAGACCUCCAAGUUACCCAGACAAACCCACCCUUCCUCGACUGGAAACCAGAAGAGGACACGCAGCGCCGUGAAUGGAAUUGGAGCCAUGUGCCUUAACUACUCAUUCAGCCUUAGAUGGUUUAGAGAUUAGAUAUCGAGAAAAGGGUCUUUUUGUUCUCUGAAUGAGUUCUUCGGCGUCUUAUGGCUCCCUACGUGUUAUACCUACGACGAGGAGACGUGAAAGAGGACGUUUUAUCAUGGCUACCGAUCGCACGUAUGUCAGGCACGUGAGGUGAACGUUGACACAAAAAUGGUCUGAUUUAUUAAGCUAGGAAAUAGCGAUAAUAACAGCCUCCGCUAGU